UUUUUCCUACGGGGGGCAGCAGUGAGGAAUAUUGGUCAAUGGGCGGGAGCCUGAACCAGCCAAGUCGCGUGAAGGAAGAAGGUGCUUAGUAUUGUAAACUUCUUUUGUCGGGGAACAAAGGCGGAGACGCGUCUCCGGAUGAGUGUACCCGAAGAAAAAGCAUCGGCUAACUCCGUGCCAGCAGCCGCGGUAAUACGGAGGAUGCGAGCGUUAUCCGGUUUUAUUGGGUUUAAAGGGUGCGUAGGCGGUCCGUUAAGUCAGUGGUAAAAUUGCGG
rnacentral:rRNA from 1 species